rnacentral:pre_miRNA from 13 species
UACUGGCAAGUCUUUAUUGUUCCCUCAAAUUUAGCAUUCACUUGUCAUGUGAUAUCAGUAAGUGCUAUCUGUUGGGGCGGCUGUAGUUGA